UGUGUAGGGAUGAGAUUAGCUGGAAUGCCGUUUCAACGGCUAUCACCCAUAUCGUCUGGGAGCUACAAAGGAGGUGGCGCGUGGACUCGGAGAAUGGCUAGUCCAGAUGCAGUACAAGAGGUGGUCCAGGGGUUCGAAGUCGGCUUCGUAGGUCAUACCGGUGCCCUGCGGUCGAGAUCGACCCUUACAGCGAUUAAGUGGCCGCGGAGAGGAAGUCCCGGUAGCGGUGCUGUCGUGGCGUCAGUCUACUGGGUUGGAUCUGAGCCCGCGGUUGGAAAGGGGUCCCCGGCAAGGGUCGGGGUAGGUGAGAUCCUGCUGUCUGCAACCUACGGGUGCAUCUGAUAGGGCCUGAAGGGUAGUGAUACCCUUCCUUUGCGGGCAGGUCAGAUCGGGUUGCACGUGGGCAUCAGUUCUUGAUGUCCGCUCAGCAGUAGGGCGCGGGCGGGGUUGACCCUGCCCGCCUUCCGAGGACAAAGGGAGUGGCGAGGACCACUCGGGAAACUGGCUAAGCGCCAGCAUGCUAUCGUGAUGGACUCUCCAGAGCGAGUCAUCGAUGUUCGUUGCUGCUAGGCUACGGCAGCUAACCUUGAGGGUGCGAUAUGCACUAGCCCCUCUCUGAAGCAAUACCUUCUUGGUGGUUCCGGAGAGACGUAGGGUUUGGCGACCAUAGGAAUGUGUUUUAGUGGGUCGAGGAGAGAGUAGUCCUGGCUUCUACCGGCAUUGUAGAAGACGGCCUCAUCCCCACACUACCCUAACCUUCCUGUUAGGGUGUCUGAUGAGCAGAUUUAUCCCCCUAUGGUUUAGAAGAAAAAAAAAACAUGCAUUCCUUAUGGGAUUUGCCAUAACUGGUACACUAUGGCAAAAUAGGGUGCAAGGAGGCCCAAAAGUUAAGGAAAAUUAUUUAUUUCUACCAUAAUUUGAGCAAAUUGUGAAGUUUGAAUGAUUGCAAUCAUCUUUUGUGAUCGUGAUCUGUUGUUCACGAUUUUUUUCUUGUUGAUUUGUACCUUUAAAGGUUGAAAAUCAACUAUGGCGAAUUUGAGGUACUAUAGCCAUAACUGGUACACUGAGCCUAACUUCGCUUUGGCCAAACCGCUUAAUCACUCAAUCACUUAGAUUUAAUAAUUUUCCAUGAAUUGCAUUCUCCAAUUCAUGGAAAAUUCUUCGAUUGUUGCAUGGAGUGUGUUACGUUUGUAAAUUGCUGUGAGCAUUUUGUCAGUUAAUUUUCUAUUUUAUACUGUGGUUUGUACAUCCGUCCCUGAAUUUUAAUGUGCAUUUGUAGCGCUCCAAACAUUUCAGGAGCGAACCAGUACAAAACACGCAAGCCGUCCCCUAACACGGACAUCAACUUGUAGACGGUCUUGUGUUGUUGCCCGAAUCGGUAUGCCCCCUUAGGAUUAGAAAUUCCUAGACUAAAACAAGCUAUGUAAGCAAGUAACGCUGCAAACAAAAGGCAAUCCGCCAGAAGAAAUACGAUUACAGGAUUGACUAAUGGACCAAGAACAAAAAUGAAACCUCGUCAUCCUGGGUUCGGACUUUGUUAUCUAUUUGGAUAACUGGGCACAAUUUAUGUUAUGUGUUGCAUGUUUGUGUUUUGUGCAUUUGUAAUGUUCCAUUUUACUUUUCGUAUCCAACUAGUUUCAAAAUGUGGGGCCCGAUGCGGAAAAUAAAAUGCGCAUUUGUAGGGUUCUAUUAGCAGUUGUGUACAUUGUGGUACCCAUCGGGAGCACAAUGCAUUUGUAGUGUUCCGCAAAACUUUUUUUUUGUUACACGGUUAGAAGUCAGAAUCUGGGAAACCAUACAGCUACAGGAAGAGUGGAAGAAAGGGGUAAUUUGCCCCAUUCACAAAAAGGUGACCGUUUGGAAUGUGAGAACUGCGGAGUGAUUACCUAUUUGGAUUCCGCAUUCAAAGUGCUAUCAAGGAUCAUUUUCCGUCGUCUAUCAUUAAAAACGAGUGGGUUGGUGGGAAGUUUGACAAAUUUAUCGAAAGACGGACCAGAUUUUCACAGGACAGCAAAUCAUCCAAAAAUGCCAUGAAUACCAGAUCUCAAUGCAUCAACUUCAAUGUAGCAUACGACAGUGUGAGGUCGAUAGAGCUAUGGAAAAUCAUGGGUCCUUACUGACGGCUGUCAACAAAGUGAGAAGGCGCAUCAUCAGCGGACCUCGUGUCUACUACGGGCUCCAGAAGAAACUGCGGUCAAACAAGAUUCAGCCCCGCACCAAGUAUACCAUGUACAAAACGCUUAUAGAACAGGUGUACAUCUAUAAACACGAGACAUGGACAAUGCUUGAAGAGUACUGGGAAGCACUCGGAGUUUUUAAGCGACGCGUGCUACGGACCGGCUGUGUGCAGGAGAAGGGUGUGUGGCGGUGAAGGAUGCACCACGAGCUCGUUGCACUAUACGGCGAAUCCAGCAUCCAGAAGGUGGUCAAAGGCGAAAGGAUGCAACCGGCAGGAUACGUUGCAAGAAUGUCGAACAACAAACCUUCAAAGUUGGUGUUUGCUACUGAUCCGGUUAGCAAAAUAGAGCAUGGAACGCAGAGAGCACUACUAGGUGGAGCCCGGAGUAUAGUCGACUCUCUACAUCUCGAUAUUGAAGGGACUAUCGAGAUAGGGAGAGAUUAAAAUGCAGAACCAAUUUGAAAUGCACACUAGAUUGGAAAAUCCUCCGUAACUAGGAAAAACUGUCAACAAACAGAUGUCAUUCCGCUUUACCAGAAUGAUUGCACCCACAAAACAGGAUCUAGCAACCUGCGAAUGUGGGCAUAUCGACAUAUGGAGAGAAAAUCUAGAACAAAAUCGAACGAGAUCGCAUCGAGAUAGGAAGAUAUCGAGAUAAAGAGAUAUCGACAUACAGAGAGGUAAAAUGUAUGCAGAUUGAAGGGAUCGAUCAAACUAUCGAGAUAGGGAGAGAUAUCGAGAUGUAGAACAUCGACAUGUAGAGAGCCGACUGUAUUAAGUAUAACCUUCAAUGGGGAGCGGCAGCCGCAAACCGACUGACAAACUAUUAUUGAUUAAGUGUUAUUCUAUUGUGAUGUGAUGCAAAUAGAUGUAUGUGUAUAUGAAUGAAAUGAAAUGGUUUCGACGAAAAGAUUAGUUUGGCGAAGAGUGUAGAAAUAUUUUGGAGGAGAAAAACAAAGCACCGGUGAUUACCGAAUUCGUAGGCUUGCCAGUUUCGAAAGAAAUGAAACGCCAUUGACAAGACUCACGGAAGUUUCACCAAAAAUUCAAAGCUUUGCACCUCGAGUAGAAAUGUGCAGGGAUAAGUGCCUUGAUGAAUAGACGCAAUCUCCGUUCUUCGUGAUGAUGCCCAUCAAUUCGACCAGCCUGGUCCAGUUGGCUUUGUGGUUCAGCCUUCUUGCUACUGGCUUUUUGAAUGGUCGACGUCCAAAAAUUCGUGUGGGGGGUCCCAGCACAUAGUAUGCUGGGUUGCUAUCCUGUUGGACCUCAAAGUAGCUUUCUUCUCUGUAGCUUUGGUUGCUGCAAGAUCUCCCACCACGUGUGGCUAGAGCAUAACUUUGGGGCUUGCUGGCCGCUAGCCUUUAGCUUGUUACCUAACUUUUUCGAUGCCGGUAGAGAGAGGAGUCGUUAAUUCCGGCUCUAUCUACCAGGAUGUUUUCUAAUUAAGGCCGCACAGGACGACGUGUAAUUUUUCCUAUCUUCCCUCUCUUUCUAACAAUUUGCCUCACGAUUUUGAAGAUGCAAAUAUGAAUUUCCAGUGCACUGAUGUAGCUGAAACUUUAGUCGAUUGUGCACCGCAAGUGAGCAAAUGAACGAUCAAAUUUCUAGCCAAUAAUAUAAAGUAGAAGUUGAGAUUUGCAUCUUACUAACAAAAGAGCAAUGGCGGACGAUUCAACCAUCGUCCCGUCCGGCCUUAUGGCUUGUUUCCACUUCGUACGUACUGUGAAAAAUGAUAGGACAAGUAAUGGUCAAGUAAUGAUUCCGCUUCAAAAUUACUUGUGCAGUUCGCAGAUGGCAAGUAAGGAAAAAAGUGUAACACUCGUAACGCCUCCCGUGCGAAUCAAAUGGAGCUGUCACUUUUCCUUACGGAAAAAUAGUCCGCGCUAUUAUUCCGUAAGGAAAAGUAACGUUUCUCCCCAUACUGGAUCAGUUGUCAAAAUUACUUGCGGAAAAAGGUGGAAUUUUACUUGAGCGCUCUACUUGGCAACAAGAAACUAAGCUUUAAUGUACAGAUGUAUGUAUAGAUAUAACAGUAUGGGUGCUUGGAUGCAGGGUCAUUAGGCCGAAGUUCAUAAGGCCGAAUGGUGACUAGGCCGAAUGGUCAUUAGGCCGAAUUGUUAUCAGGAAGAAUUGCAAUUCAGCAGGAAACUGGAAACGGAUCUGUUGUUUUUAACUUUUUCAUUAAUUAUUGCCAAAAACUAUUUCAACAUUGAAACUAGAAAGAAUAGCCUAUGUUUAAAAGAAGAAAAAAAUCGUGAUUUAAAUAUGAGCAGUUUCAGCACCAAAACAAUAUUUUGGCAUUGAUACUAGAAGGAGGCGGGAAGUGGGUUUAAUUUUCGGUUGGUCCAGGAACUUUUCGUUAAGGAAAUUUUCUUGCCUUCCUUGGUUAUAGUUUACCUUCGUGACUGCCAUACGAUAUCAAUACAAUAUGGUCAUUGGCAGCGGAAGCUCUCAGCUAAUAACUGUGCAAGUGCUCACAGUUCCGUUAACCUUUGGAAACCAGCUUGCGUAAAGGUCAAGCCUUUUGCCCACUAUUUUGCCUAAUUCCGGGUUACAUUACCUUUUAACCUAUUACGCUACUUUAUUGCUCUUCACCGUCUACACAUUUCGGCCUAGUUCGGUUUGCCGGUCUACGCCUAAACAUUAAAAAACCAGCUCUCAGGUCACAGCAACCGACCGUGAGAGAGUUCCCCGGACUUGUAGCCCAAAACGCUAAGAAGGACCCGUAUCGGUGUGAUCCAUACGGUCUCGUCCGUGGCCCGUCGAUCAACUCAAAGAAGGAAGACGACGCAGCGAAGCUUAUAAUAAAAGACGCCUCGCCGGACCACCAGAUCCGCCAUUCUAGCCAGCACCGAACAACCGAAACUAUCAUCCGCCAUUGCUGUCAGCACUGCUGAACACAUUGACUUAGCAAGUGUUCGACAGCAAACCACCGGUAAGUACCCAAUGACCCUGAAAAACCACGAUCUGCUAUAGCCUAAUAAACCUAGCAGUAGCUUUCAAUAAAUUUUCUUUUUUUUUGCCAAACACACCACAGCCAAAGAAAUUUCAUACCAUUUCACGCAUGGAUCCGAAUUAGGAACACUAAAGUAUACUGGCCUUGAGGCUCAGCUCAAGGGUUCUCAUGCUACUGAGCUUGUCAGCGGCUGGACCAACAAUUUAGGUAACAUAGUAAGCUAGUUAGGAUAUUUUAACAUAGGCUACCAUUGUUCGCUUUCAACAAAAGCCAAAAUUAGGUAAAUAUAUUCUAUUAUUAUGUUUAAAACUUUCAAAAUAGUUUGAGACUUAAUGAGGAUACUGAUUGCUUAUUAGCUUAUGUUAAAAAUAUUCUUACUAUCAAAAUACCGGGUUACUUAACUUUGAAUAUGCAGCCAUUCUAUAGAAAAACGAUAUAGGGUGCCUGUACCAGUUAUCGCACUACCUAAGCAAUACUAUUUCUACAAAAAAUAAGAAGACCGACGAAUGUCAUCGAUAUUUCUAAUGCUAGAUUAGUUUUCAUACUUCACAGGAAAAAUAUAGAAAUCGAGCCAAAACUACUUUUAGUAUUUAUUACGGCGUUUGCCAAUGAUAGGAACCCUGUACCAGUUAUGGACAUAAUUAUAAAUUUAGGUUCCACUUCGCACUGUUUACAUGCAUUCAUUAUGGGAUUAGCCAUAACUGGUACACUAUGGCGAAAUAGGGUGGAAGGGAAAAGUUAAGGAAAAUUAAUUAUUUUUAUCAUAAUUUGCGCAAAUUGUGAAGUUUGAAUGAUUGCAGCCACCUUUUGUGAUCGUGAUCUGUUGUUCACAAUUUUUUCUUGUUGAUUUGCAUCAUUAAAGGUUGAAAAUCUUCUUCUUCUUCUUCUUCUUGGCGUAACGUCCUCACUGGGACAAAGCCUGCUUCUCAGCUUAGUGUUCUAUGAGCACUUCCACAGUUAUUAACUGAGAGUUUCCUCUGCCAAUGACCAUUUUGCAUGUGUAUAUCGUGUGGCAGGCACGAAGAUACUCUAUGCCCAAGGAAGUCAAGGAAAUUUCCUUUACGAAAAGAUUCUGGACCGACCGGGAAUCGAACCCGUCACCCUCAGCAUGGUCAUGCUGAAUACCCGUGCGUUUACCGCCUCGGCUAUAUGGGUUGAAAAUCAACUAUGGCGAAUUUGAAGUACCGUAAUCCGGGGUCAAAUUGAUCACUUUGAAACAACUUUUGCAGAUAACAUGAGUGCCUGUUCAAAUGUUGCGAUUGAAUAUCUGUAAAACCAGUACCCUGUGGAUCUCCAUGGAACCAUGUGACAGAAUUUUGUUCAACAAAUUAAAACUUCAAGUUAAAUAACUCCAAAUAUCAAAAUAUUGGAAAAGCCACUUUGGGGCGAAAUUGAUCAGUUUACAAUUAAGCAUCGGUUGAAAAGGAACAUUUUCUUCUCCGCUUAAUUUUGCUCUUCUAAAACCGAAUAACGCGUCUAAAAUCUUACAACUAGUGAAUUUAAUACUUGAAAUGCAAAAUUAAAUUUUGAAAUUUCCCUUUAAACGCCUAAAGGUAGGCAAUUUCACAUGAAAUAAAUGAUUUUUAUCACAAUAAAUGACUAUUUCCUCAUAAAAUAAACUUUUUAUAACUAUUUCAUGCUCUGAUUAGCUGCAUAACUUUCCAACCAAGGCUCCACAAAAAUGUUAAAACAGAGAAUUUACGGGAAGUCUUAUUAGCAAUUGAUUGUUUUGUAGCAAUGAUUUCAGCUAAAUGAAAAAUGCAUUGCCAAUUCCUUGAAAAAAUUAGACAAAACUAACUUUUUUCUUAAAAAUUAAAAGUCUACACUCAUCUCUAGACAUCUACGAAUCAGAUGACGUAGAAAGUUUAAGAUCAUUACGACGCUUAAGAGUUCCUAGUAUGAAAUUACAAUGUAGUACCCGAGUGAUCAAUUUCAUCCCGCUGAUCAAUUUGACCCCGGUUUACGGUACUAUAGCCAUAACUGGUACACUGCGCCUAGUGCAACUCCGAUUGUCGUGAAACUUGGUGGGUUAGUAGUUCUUUGAAAAUAAUUAGACCCGUAUUUUUUUUUUAUUUCGUCAUUAGGGUGACCCAAGGGUGACCAAUUUUCAUAUAGGAUGGUUCUAAAAAUCAAGGUUUAUAAAAACUAAUUUUUUUCAAAAAAUCAUAACUUUCAAGCCAGUUAACCGAUUUUAAAUUUUUUUUUUGUUUGAAAGCUAUUGAAUUUAGUUUUCAGGAAAAGUCCGAUGAAUGGACCAAAUUGUGUUUUUGUGCAAAUAUGCAAAUAUAUUAGUUUUUUCACGUUUUAAAGGUCUCGGGACCAAAGGGUUACCCUGGUUUUGUAUUCUUAUCAGAAAAUUCAAAUUUGGCAUAACACAUCAAAAAAUCAGAAAUGUAAGUGUUUUAGUUUUUGAGAUAUGAUUUUUUGAAUCAUGUAAUUUGAUACUAGGGUAAAAGCUCCUUUAGUGGAGGAAGUACCAAUAGUGGUGGUAGUGCCAAUUUAGCACUAUUUCGAACAAAAAGCUUGCAAAUGACAUUUUUAAUAGAUGCAUCAACUAAUUAAUAACAAUAAUUCAGUUUUGUGCUCAAGAUUUGCCGAAAAACCAAUUUUAAACAAUUAUUUUCCUUAAAUGUUUUGCUCCUUUGCACCUAUAGUGGUGGUAGUCUUCCUAUAGUGGUGGGUUCCAUAAUAAUUCAAUGGAAUGCGCCACUAUAGGAACCAAUGUUAAACUUUAACUCCAUAAUAGGAACCGUGUACCUAUAGUUGGUGCAAGUGAUUUUUUAGAAAAAACUGAAAUAAAAAAUGGUUUUUACAUUCUUCAUAGCAAAUUUAAGUGAAAAGCUACUGAUUAACGUUUUUAGACUUUUUAUUUUGUGGUAUUUCAAAUUUUAUUCAAUUAUUUUUCUACAAGGAGCUACUAUUAGCACCACUAUUGGUACAUUUACCCUAUUUGCUCUAAAAUUACCUAAAAUAGUAAAUUCUCGUGUAACUAUGCCUUGUAUUGCUUUUUUGAGUGAUUCCUGGUCUUUUUGGUAUCCAUACAUGUAUAAGGAUUCAAAAUAUAAUCAAAUUAAAAAAAAGUUUUAUAUGGGAGAAUUUGGCCUUUUUUUUCAAAAAAAUCAUAUCUCAAAAACUAAAAAACAUACAUCUUUAAUUUUUUUAUAUGUUACGCCAAAUUUCCUGAGUUUUCAGAUAAAAAUAUAAAAUCAGGGCACCUCUUUGGUUCCGAGACCAUGAAAACAUAAAAAAAAUAUAUUUGCACAUAUCUUACAUAAAAACGCAAUUUGGGCCAUUCAACGUAUUUUUCCUGAGAACUGGAAUUCAAUAGCUUUCAAACAAAAAAAAGAAGUUCAAAAUGGUUCAAAUGGUUCAAAAGUUAAGAUUUUUCGAAAACUUUUAGUUUUUAAAAACUUUGAUUUUUAGGACUACACUAUCUGAAAAUUGGCCACCCUUAUACGAAAUAAAACAAUAUAGGUCUAAUUAUUUUCGAAGAACUACGAACCCACCAAGUUUCACGACAAUCGGAGUUGCACUGUAGCGUUUUUCUAUGGAAUGGCUGUAUGACACCUACAUUUUUAUUAGUUAUGCACUUUUCCAGUUAUUUUAUUAUAAGAAUCCCCGUAACCGUAAAUUACGCCAAAAUGUGGGUGAUUUCUUAAGGUAGUACAUUUCAAACUUAUUUUACGUCCACCCUUACAUGGACGAUAAGCCGUGCGGUUAGGGUCACCAAGCUUCAAAUUUUUAGUCAAUAGGGCAAAAGCACUAGUCUUCGCCAUUGCUCUAGUCUAGUUGUUUAUGUAUGGCAUGAUGAAGAUUAGAGCAGAAUUCUUGGGGGUGAAAUCUAGUGUUUUUACCUUACGUUGUGAAUUGUAGUCAUGUAUCACACUACGGUAUGAAAUAUUGUUACAAAAAAUGAUUUAUUUAUGCUUGUAUGAAACUCUAUUUUCAUGAGCUCUAUGUAUUUAUGUUGCUCGUUAAUAGGAUAUUACAGCUCGAGCAGAAACUAAAGCUGUUAGUACACAGGGUCAAAUUUUUGUCCAAAAAGAAAUCAAUGCUCAAACAUCUUGUUUGCUUCGAUCGAAUUUUCAUUAGUGUCAAACAGAUGUUUGAUCUUUAAUUCAUUUCUAGUCAAAUAUUUGACCCUGUGUACUUCGGCCCUAAUUCGAUUAAAAAUAUUUGUUUGAACAUGUUAUGAGGUGGUCUGAGCCAAUCAAUGCUACCACACUGUUCAAAGUACUUAUUCUAAAAACAUUGGAAUAAUUGGAAAAAUACGGUCACAUUCAAGAAUAUUUGAAAAAAAAACUAUCAUAGUUAUCCCAUUUUGGGGUAUUUGUUGAACUUAUAACUGGAAAUCCAGAACUGUCGCUGUUAGGAUGAAACGCUAGACUGUAGAAAAGAAAAUCUAACAUUUUUGUAUUCUUCAUCUUAAGAAAUAUUGUAUCCUAAAAUUUCAGACAUUUAACAUUGAUUUUAUUACUAUCCAAUCUCUGGCUUAAAACAUGACAUCAUUUCUGCCACUAAUAUUGCAACCAUUCAGGUUCUUUGUUGGGUCCUUCCAGGUGCUAGUUGUCGUCGCUUCAAAAGUGCACUAGCAGAGACGAUUACGGUGUUUACGACAAGCGGACCCCACUUUCGGGUGCACACGAGUCAUUGAUGGUGGAUCAACUACAUCAGCAUCAACGCACAGGAAUGGCAUAAAGAAAAAAACCUGCAAAAAAUCACGUCUGGUUGCGUUAUUCAGUCUAGCCAAAUAAUUUACUUCCACACUGCUAACACACUAGAAGAAGCGACGGAUAUUAAGGCUCACGUCUGUCGUGAACAGGGCGGCUUUGUGUCGGUAGGUUUUAUAUCGAUGCAUUGGUCGAGUUUUGCCAAAAGAAAUCUAGACAGAUGAUACCGUUGGUGGGGGCUAGUUUGAAAUCGGCUAGCAUGUAGCGGAGAAUCGCCAAAGUUUCAAAUGUAUUUUUUAAAAUUUAUCCAAGUUUUGUUGAUAAUUAUUCAAACACAUAGGGAAUUUGGGUAUUUUUAGUGGAAGGGUAAAUGCCGAAAGAUAUGUUUUAAUGUUAAUUGCGUUGAUCGAACUGCCUUUAUAAUUCGUCUGAGUUGCUUCGCCACUUUGGUAAAAAAAGAAAUAAAAUAAAAUAAUGAAUAAGUAGAUGGUGAUAUUAACAGCUUUCAUUGAAAAGGUUAUUAGUGAUACUUUCGCAACAGUACGUAAUUUUAUACGAAACUACGUUUCUAUCAUUUGAUCAAUUAUCUGAAUCUUUUGGAAAUUUAAUAUUUGUCUAUUGGUAACAAAACACCCAAAAAUAAUAAUAAUAAUUUUAAAUUGUACUAUUUCAAGUUUAGCAAAAAUGCAAGAUUGAAAUAUGAUGAAUCGAAUAAAAUUUAACUCGACAUUUUAUUUUGAGGCUUUACUAGGUAUAUUCCACCGGUAAUCCUCUACGGGCACGAGACAUGGACCAUGCUCGAGGAGGACCUGCAAGCACUCGGAGUUUUCGAGCGACGCGUGCUAAGGACGAUCUUCGGCGGUGUGCAGGAGAACGGUGUGUGGCGGAGAAGAAUGAACCACGAGCUCGCUGCACUUUACGGCGAACCCAGCAUCCAGAAGGUGGCCAAAGCCGGAAGGAUACGGUGGGCAGGGCAUGUUGCAAGAACGCCGGACAACAACCCUGCAAAGCUGGUGUUUGCAACUGAUCCGGUUGGCACAAGAAGGCGUGGAGGGCAGAGAGCACGAUGGGCAGACCAGGUGGAGCGUGACUUGGCGAGCAUCGGGCGCGACCGAGGAUGGAGAGCGGCAGCCACAAACCGUGUAUUAUGGAGAAAUAUUGUUGAUUCAGUUUUAUCUUGAAUUUGAUGUAAUACUAAAUAAAUGAAAAAAAAAAAUGAAUAGGUAUAUUCCAUAGAUACCCAGGAAUUCAUAAAACAUAGAAAAAAAAAAUGGAAAUUGGGUUGAAAAAUUGUACAAAAGUUCAAAUUGUGGAGCAAAACAUCAAGUCGUUCAAAAACUAGGCAGACACACAAAAUAAAAUCAAAACUGAACAAAAUCAAUGCAUAAUGGGUCCAGAGCCGUAUUUACGAAGACUAAAAUGUUUGUGCCUAAACCUUAAGUUUUAGAUACCGGGUGUCUUUGGGAAAGUUUCUUCUAAUUUUUUGUCAUUUUUUCUUAUCUUAGUGAAAUAAGGGUGGUUCCUCUAGUUAAGCUGAUCCAAAUAUCUGCUUUUUAAUAGUUUUAUAUAAGAUUACAAAAUGUUCUACAAAGUUGUAAAAGAACUUUUUUUGGAGCAAGUUUGCCGAAGAAACCAUUAUUCUAUCUCUUAUGGUUCCUAACUAAUAUUUUUUUCAAGAUUCAUGUUGGGGUGAUGAAAUUCUUAGUUUUCUUAGAAUAACUUUUAAUUCAUUCGUUUCUAGUGAAAACUUUGUUCCGAGCACUUUUAGAAUUAUCAACGAGGCUUUUUUUUUUCAAUAAGCUCAAUGUUCUCAUAGUUAAAAAGAUAUUGACUUUUUUCUUCGUUUUUCAAUCGCAUGGUAGCAUUGGAAAGACCAUACUAUGUUCUAUUUAUGGUGAAGAAACUGCGGGUACCUUUUUUGUUUGAAGCUUUUUAUUGAAUUUUAAAAGAACGAUUUUUUUUUUAUGAAAAAGCAGUUGUAACACUGAAAAUCGAUGAGAUACAGUCUUUGACAAAAUUGUGAGUUUUUGGAUGCUUUAAAAGCACUCAGAACAAAGUUUUGCGGAAAAAUCAACACAAAAAAUUAUAUUUAAUAAAAAAACAGAUUUUCAUUUGAAAAACAAAACAUGUCAAGCAAAUUCAACUCGGCUUUGUUAGAUAUGUAGUGUAGAUCGAAGUAAUCAUGUGGAAAAUGCUUAAGGACAAGGUGUUUGGAGUACAUUGCUCAAAAUUUCUAGAGUACCGUUUUUUAGAACCGUUGAACGGAUUUGGAUGAAAAUGCAUCACGCUAAUUGUUCAGUGGUUGUCAAUAGCGUGAUGCACUUUAAUUCAAAUCCGUUCAACGUCCUAAAAAACGGUGCUCUAUAAAUUUUGAGCAAUGUACUCCAAAUACCUUGUCCUUAAACUUGUUUAUUUUCUAUAUUUCGUCAAUGAGUUUAUCUUAAAACGUGAUUGUAAGCUGAUUUUCAUAAAUUAAAUACCCAUUUUAUUUCUUUAAUUCAUGGAUUGCGAAAAUGUCAAUCUCUGGUAAAUGUUGAUGUUAACGUAAAAGCAUAUCAAAAUUACUUAGUUUACAACAUGUGACCAACAUUGUGCCCUCAUGGUGAUGUCAAUAUAAAUAAACAUUAAUUAUAAAAUAAAAUGAAUGGCCAUUUACAAAGCUACUAUGACCCAUCGAACAAAGACUAGUUGAUUUUGCUUGGGUUGUUUUGUUUUUCUGGGCGCUUUUAGAGCAUCCAAAAACUCACAAUUUUGUCGAAGACGCCAAGUUUGUAUCUCAUUGAGUUACAACUGCUUUUUCAUAAAAAAAAUCGUAUUUUUCAAAUUCAAUAAAAAUAUUCAAAUAAAAAAGGUACCCGCAGAUUUUUCACAAAAAAUAGAACAUAUUAUGAUCUUUCCAAUGCAACCAAGCGAUGAAAAUCAAUUAGCUUCUUUUAAGAAAUGACUUUUAGAAAAAGAUUGAUUUAUCGAAGAAAAAAGCCAAUAUCUUUUUAACUAUGACAGAUAGAACAUUGAGCUCUAUGGAAAAAAAUAUGCGUCGUUGAUAGUCUCAAAGUGCUCUAGACAAAGUUUUCACUAGAAACGAACGAAUCAAAAGUUAUUCUAAGAAAACUGAUUUUCAUGGAUCACCCUAACAUGAAUCUUUUUAGAAAUUAUAAGUUAGGAACCAUCAGAGAUAUAAUAAUGGUUUCUUCGGCAAACUUGCUCCAAAUAAGUUAUUUAACAACUUUCGGCUAGCUUUGUCGAACAUUUUGUAAUCGUAUAUAAAACUAUUAAAAAGCGGAUGUUUGGAUCAGCUAAACUAGAGGGACGACCCAAAUUUCACAAAGAUGAGAAAAAAAGAUCGAAAAAUUAGAAGAAACUUUCCCAAGGACUCCAUGUAUCUAAAACUUAAGGUUUAAGCACAAACAUUUUUGUCUUUGUAAAUACGACUCUGGACCCAUUG